rnacentral:rRNA from 1 species
AUGCACCAAAUUCAUGUAAAAAAUGGGAAGUUGAAGCAAUACAUACCUUGCAAGCGUUUUACCGAACACCUUGUGGGCGCUGAGCGGCAGUGGGCGUCCGGGCGCUGUUCGUCGGAGGAAUGGCGCGCGCGAGGGGCGGCGACGACUAGAGGGAGAAGGAGGAAGCGGCGGCGGCGCGGGGAUAGACUGGGAAGCGCCGGAAUGGUCACCAGAACAAAUGGGGUGCGGUUGCGCGCGCUAAAAACCACAAAUUUCUGGCGGCGCUUAUAUAGCGCAGCUGUUGGAGAUGCUCAAUAUAAACUCCCGAACGAGAAGAACUCACAAAAAAAACUUCCAUCUCUCCCCACCUCCCGACCCACGCCCGCCGGCCUCCCCCCAGACCCCGCGCGGCGAGCUCGACCCACCCCGUUGGCCUCCCCCCAGACCCGCGCGCCCUGCCACCAACCACCUCCCACCGGCGGCCGCCGGCCCCAACGCCUCACCCGCCGCCGCCACCCCCUCCCCCCGGCCCAACGCGCCUCAUUGCGCCGCCGAACCCCCGCACCACCGCGCGCCGCCAGAUCCCCGGAGUCCCGCGCGCUGCUGAGACCCGACAUCCCAGCGCGCCGCGCCGCGAUUUGGUUCGGUCCUGACGAGUUUUCUUGGUUGCCGCCGCAGAGGUGGUUUCUUGAAUCCGGGUUUUCCUCAAACAAUGUUGGUUUCUCUCUGUGUGGGGAGCAGCGAGUGGAGGGCGGCUACACCGUGGAGACGGUCUUCGACGGCAGCAAGCUGGGGAUCGAGCCGUACGACGUGGAGGUCACCCAGGGUGGCGAGCUGCUCGUCAUGGAUUCCACGAACAGCAACAUCUACCAGAUCGCGCUGCCGCUGGUUGGUGUUGAACUGCUGAUGUUGUGUGUUGGUUGGAGUCAUGAAUUCUGCUCUGGCCUAUCUCUUGAUUGCGAUGAGGAGCUGGAGUACGCGGAGCAGAAUAGCCUCUUCUUCCUAGAGACGUUGGCAAACAUAGAGAAGACGUCAGAGGAUCCCGGUCGCCGAGCCGAGAUCUAUGUGCUGCUGGUGCUCACUACCCGCGUGAACAUAGGAAUGAAGGUCACCAUCAGGCAGGGGAGAAGAUCACAUGAUGUGCAGAAAGAAGGAAAAAACCACAAAACUAAACAGCCCUACCCCACACACGCCUCACGAAGUCACGAUCCCCAAGCUAGACCAAGCCAACGUGCACCAGGUCAAGGCAUUACAUGUGCGAUCGGGAGGCGAUCACGGCUGCUAGGGUUUCGCUCACAGGGACGGUUUCUUGCUGGCGGCCGUAAGGAUUACGACGGCGUGAUCCAUUGGCUGGCCAGAUCGUGUGUUGGUCGUCUCACUCUUGCUUGGCUGUCGCACGGGGGCGAUGGCGACGCACAAGAUAAUGCAUCCCCUAUGAAGGGUGUCCCGAUCCUCAUGAGAUAUGACGCGGAGGAGGAGGAUGCAGACCACUCAGCAAGGCUCGGAGGAGGAGGAUGCAGGCCACGCAGCAAAGCUGGGACUGGGAGGGCUCAUCUUGAUGGAGAAGGAAGACCAAGGGAUGCUCUUUGA